rnacentral:rRNA from 1 species
UGAGGGAUGAAGCUUCUCGGAGUGUAAACCUCUGUUGCUCGGGACGAACGACCAGAUUUGUCUGGUGUGACGGUACCGAGUGAGGAAGCACCGGCUAACUCCGUGCCAGCAGCCGCGGUAAUACGGGGGGUGCGAGCGUUGUCCGGAAUCACUGGGCGUAAAGGGCGCGUAGGUGGUCUUGUAAGUCGAUGGUGAAAGCCCGGGGCUCAACCCCGGGUCUGCCGUCGAUACUGUGAGACUUGAGUGUUGUAGAGGCUGGUAGAAUGUCUGGUGUAGCGGUGGAAUGCGUAGAGAUCAGACAGAAGACCGGUGGCGAAGGCGGCCAGCUGGGCAACAACUGACACUGAGGCGCGACAGCGUGGGGAGCAAACAGGAUUAGAUACCCUGGUAGUCCACGCCGUAAACGA